rnacentral:rRNA from 1 species
CCUUGGCUCAGAACGAACGCUGGCGGCAGGCCUAACACAUGCAAGUCGAGCGCUGUAGCAAUACAGAGCGGCGCACGGGUGAGUAACACGUGGGAACGUGCCCUUUGGUUCGGAAUAACUCAGGGAAACUUGAGCUAAUACCGGAUGAGCCCUAACGGGGAAAGAUUUAUCGCCGAAGGAGCGGCCCGCGUUGGAUUAGCUAGUUGGUGGGGUAAAAGCCUACCAAGGCAACGAUCCAUAGCUGGUUUGAGAGAACGACCAGCCACACUGGGACUGAGACGCGGCCCAGACUCCUACGGGAGGCAGCAGUGGGGAAUCUUGGACAAUGGGGGAAACCCUGAUCCAGCCAUGCCGCGUGAGUGAUGAAGGCCCUAGGGUUGUAAAACUCUUUCGGCGGGGACGAUAAUGACGGUACCCGCAGAAGAAGCUCCGGCUAACUUCGUGCCAGCAGCCGCGGUAAUACGAAGGGGGCUAGCGUUGUUCGGAAUUACUGGGCGUAAAGCGCGCGCAGGCGGUUCUUCAAGUCAGAGGUGAAAGCCCAGAGCUCAACUCUGGAAUGGCCUUUGAGACUAGAGAACUAGGGUACGGGAGAGGUGAGUGGAAUUCCGAGUGUAGAGGUGAAAUUCGUAGAUAUUCGGAAGAACACCAGUGGCGAAGGCGGCUCACUGGCCCGUUACCGACGCUCAGGCGCGACAGCGUGGGGAGCAAACAGGAUUAGAUACCCUGGUAGUCCACGCCGUAAACGAUGGAUGCUAGCCGUUGGCGCGCUUGCGCGUCAGUGGCGCCGCUAACGCAUUAAGCAUCCCGCCUGGGGAGUACGGUCGCAAGAUUAAAACUCAAAGGAAUUGACGGGGGCCCGCACAAGCGGUGGAGCAUGUGGUUCAAUUCGAAGCAACGCGAAGAACCUUACCAGCCUUUGACAUCCCGGUCGCGAGCACCAGAGAUGGAGCUCUUCAGUUCGGCUGGACCGGAGACAGGUGGUGCAUGGUUGUCGUCAGCUCGUGUCGUGAGAUGUUGGGUUAAGUCCCGCAACGAGCGCAACCCUCGUCCUAUGUUGCCAGCGGUUCGGCCGGGGACUCAUAGGAGACUGCCGGGGUCAACUCGGAGGAAGGUGGGGAUGACGUCAAAUCAUCAUGCCCCUUAUGUCUAGGGCUGCACACAUGCUACAAUGGCCGGUACAAAGGGCUGCGAAGCCGUGAGGUGGAGCGAAUCCCAAAAAGCCGGUCUCAGUUCGGAUCGGGGUCUGCAACUCGACCCCGUGAAGUCGGAGUCGCUAGUAAUCGCAGAUCAGCAACGCUGCGGUGAUACGUUCCCGGGCGUGCA